CAGGGGGUAUUUUAUUUAAAAUAUUAGUUUUGGGGACUAAUGAAACAGUAUAGUACUUUUCCUCUGA
rnacentral:tRNA from 1 species